rnacentral:pre_miRNA from 1 species
GUUGGUAACCAUCAAAAGUAACAGCAUCUCCACUGGAAAUUGGUACACAGUCCACAUGGAGUUGCUGUUACACUUGAUAACACCAUU